AUGAACGCUAGCGGCAGGCUUAACACAUGCAAGUCGAGGGGCAUCGAGAGUAGCAAUACUUGUCGGCGACCGGCGCAAGGGUGCGUAACACGUGAGCAACAUACCCGUUUCAGGAGGAUAACCCGGAGGAAACUCUGCCUUAAAUACUCCAAUGACAUCAUCAAACGGCAUCGUUUGAUGAUUAAAGAUUUAUCGGAAACGGCUUGGCUCGCGGGACAUUAGCUCGUUGGUGAGGUAACGGCUCACCAAGGCCACGAUGUCUAGGGGUUCUGAGAGGAAGGUCCCCCCACACUGGAACUGAGACACGGUCCAGACUCCUACGGGAGGCAGCAGUGAGGAAUAUUGGACAAUGGUCGGAAGACUGAUCCAGCCAUGCCGCGUGAAGGUUACUGUCCUAUGGAUAUUAAACUUCUUUUGUAUGAGAGCAAUAAGGUGCACGCGUGCACCGAUGAGAGUAUCAUACGAAUAAGCAUCGGCUAACUCCGUG
rnacentral:rRNA from 1 species